rnacentral:lncRNA from 1 species
GUGUGGACCUUGGAGACCCUGUAGGCUACUGAAAGGACUUUGGAUUUGUCCCCGUGAGAAAGGAGAGCCAUGGGAGAGUAAAUCAAAUCCCUCAGAAGCCCAGAAAGCAGCUGUCCUCAGCUCACUCCUCUCACCGCAGAUCACCCAUUCACCAGAUCCCAGGUACCGAACUGAAGAUGGUAGAGGAAAAGUUUUUCCUGCUUAACAUAUUCAACUCUCUACCCUCAAUAUAUUUGGCUGUUAUUAUUCUGGUUUACAUGUAUCAUAAUUUAACCAGUUCCCUACUGGUGGAUGUCUAGGUUUCCCCGAUGUUUUGCUAUUAAAAACACACAUGGUACACGUUUUUCUAGAUCGGGCAGGGUUUGCCCAUCUCCACUUCAAGCAGCACAACCACCAUCUGCCAGUGUUGGGGUUUACUCUACAGUCAGCAAACACUGUUGGCACAUCCAGUCAGAGAAACUGAAAACAGAAAGCAGAAAUGGCUUACACUGGACUAAUUUUAGAAUUUCUAAGUACAUUUAAGUGAUGACUCAUCCCACUUAAAUUCAAAGCUGUUUGUUGUGCCAUCUGGCUCAUCAGAACAUGAAAGACUUCUCCUGCAACCUGGAAAAAGGCCAGAGAGGAAGACGAAUGGAGGAGUCAACCCCAUGGGAAUGCUGACUGAGUGUUAGCUCCCCGUGGACAGGAAUGUCACUGCAUGAAUAGGCUGCAGUAUGUCUGGGCCUGUUUUUUUUUCAUAAAAUGUUCCCCCCCUGUUUUUUUCUUAUUCCAAAGCAAUGCAACAAAAAGCACAAGAAAUCAAAAAGGAAAAAAUAGAUAUUGGACUUCAUCAAAAUGAAAAACUUUUGUGCUUCAAAGGAAAUGGAAAGAAAGUGAAAAAACAACUGAGGGAAUGGAAGAAAAUAUUCUCAAAUCAUCAUCUAACAAAGGUUGUGUUAGUCUGUUCAGGUUGCUGUAACAAAAUAUCAUUUCAGGUCACCAGGUGGCUUAAACAACAGAUUCAGUUGGCCCUCCGUAUCCAUGGGUUUCAGGCCUUCGACUUCAACCAACCUCAAAUAAAAAAUAUUUUUAAAACCCAAUACGGCCGAGUGCGGUGCCUCAUGCCUGUAAUCAUAGCACUUUGGGAGGCCGAGGCGGGGGGAUCACUUGAGGUCAG